rnacentral:rRNA from 1 species
ACAAGGUCGAAACGCACAGCGAAAGGUGCUUGCACCUUUCAAGUGAGUGGCGAACGGGUGAGUAACACGUGGACAACCUGCCUCAAGGCUGGGGAUAACAUUUGGAAACAGAUGCUAAUACCGAAUAAAACUUAGUGUCGCAUGACACAAAGUUAAAAGGCGCUUCGGCGUCACCUAGAGAUGGAUCCGCGGUGCAUUAGUUAGUUGGUGGGGUAAAGGCCUACCAAGACAAUGAUGCAUAGCCGAGUUGAGAGACUGAUCGGCCACAUUGGGACUGAGACACGGCCCAAACUCCUACGGGAGGCUGCAGUAGGGAAUCUUCCACAAUGGGCGAAAGCCUGAUGGAGCAACGCCGCGUGUGUGAUGAAGGCUUUCGGGUCGUAAAGCACUGUUGUAUGGGAAGAACAGCUAGAAUAGGAAAUGAUUUUAGUUUGACGGUACCAUACCAGAAAGGGACGGCUAAAUACGUGCCAGCAGCCGCGGUAAUACGUAUGUCCCGAGCGUUAUCCGGAUUUAUUGGGCGUAAAGCGAGCGCAGACGGUUUAUUAAGUCUGAUGUGAAAGCCCGGAGCUCAACUCCGGAAUGGCAUUGGAAACUGGUUAACUUGAGUGCAGUAGAGGUAAGUGGAACUCCAUGUGUAGCGGUGGAAUGCGUAGAUAUAUGGAAGAACACCAGUGGCGAAGGCGGCUUACUGGACUGCAACUGACGUUGAGGCUCGAAAGUGUGGGUAGCAAACAGGAUUAGAUACCCUGGUAGUCCACACCGUAAACGAUGAACACUAGGUGUUUAGGAGGUUUCCGCCUCUUAGUGCCGAAGCUAACGCAUUAAGUGUUCCGCCUGGGGAGUACGACCGCAAGGUUGAAACUCAAAGGAAUUGACGGGGACCGCACAAGCGGUGGAGCAUGUGGUUUAAUUCGAAGCAACGCGAAGAACCUUACCAGGUCUUGACAUCCUUUGAAGCUUUAGAAGAUAGAAAUGUUCUCUUCGGAGACAAAUGACAGGUGGUGCAGGGUCGUCGUCACCUCCUGUCCUGAGAAGAUUGGGUUUAAUUCCCCCAACAAGGGCAACCCUUUUUGUUGUUUGCCGCCCUUCCAAAGGGGCGCCUUCCGGAACUGCCGGUGAUAAACCGAAGAAAGGGGGGGG